rnacentral:rRNA from 1 species
AUGCACCGAAGCUGCGGCAGCGACACUGUGUGUUGUUGGGUAGGGGAGCGUUCUGUAAGCCUGUGAAGGUGUACUGUGAGGUAUGCUGGAGGUAUCAGAAGUGCGAAUGCUGACAUAAGUAACGAUAAAGCGGGUGAAAAGCCCGCUCGCCGGAAGACCAAGGGUUCCUGUCCAACGUUAAUCGGGGCAGGGUGAGUCGACCCCUAAGGCGAGGCCGAAAGGCGUAGUCGAUGGGAAACAGGUUAAUAUUCCUGUACUUGGUGUUACUGCGAAGGGGGGACGGAGAAGGCUAUGUUGGCCGGGCGACGGUUGUCCCGGUUUAAGCGUGUAGGCUGGUUUUCCAGGCAAAUCCGGAAAAUCAAGGCUGAGGCGUGAUGACGAGGCACUACGGUGCUGAAGCAACAAAUGCCCUGCUUCCAGGAAAAGCCUCUAAGCAUCAGGUAACAUCAAAUCGUACCCCAAACCGACACAGGUGGUCAGGUAGAGAAUACCAAGGCGCUUGAGAGAACUCGGGUGAAGGAACUAGGCAAAAUGGUGCCGUAACUUCGGGAGAAGGCACGCUGAUAUGUAGGUGAAGUCCCUCGCGGAUGGAGCUGAAAUCAGUCGAAGAUACCAGCUGGCUGCAACUGUUUAUUAAAAACACAGCACUGUGCAAACACGAAAGUGGACGUAUACGGUGUGACGCCUGCCCGGUGCCGGAAGGUUAAUUGAUGGGGUCAGCGCAAGCGAAGCUCUUGAUCGAAGCCCCGGUAAACGGCGGCCGUAACUAUAACGGUCCUAAGGUAGCGAAAUUCCUUGUCGGGUAAGUUCCGACCUGCACGAAUGGCGUAAUGAUGGCCAGGCUGUCUCCACCCGAGACUCAGUGAAAUUGAACUCGCUGUGAAGAUGCAGUGUACCCGCGGCAAGACGGAAAGACCCCGUGAACCUUUACUAUAGCUUGACACUGAACAUUGAGCCUUGAUGUGUAGGAUAGGUGGGAGGCUUUGAAGUGUGGACGCCAGUCUGCAUGGAGCCGACCUUGAAAUACCACCCUUUAAUGUUUGAUGUUCUAACGUGGACCCGUGAUCCGGGUUGCGGACAGUGUCUGGUGGGUAGUUUGACUGGGGCGGUCUCCUCCUAAAGAGUAACGGAGGAGCACGAAGGUUGGCUAAUCCUGGUCGGACAUCAGGAGGUUAGUGCAAUGGCAUAAGCCAGCUUGACUGCGAGCGUGACGGCGCGAGCAGGUGCGAAAGCAGGUCAUAGUGAUCCGGUGGUUCUGAAUGGAAGGGCCAUCGCUCAACGGAUAAAAGGUACUCCGGGGAUAACAGGCUGAUACCGCCCAAGAGUUCAUAUCGACGGCGGUGUUUGGCACCUCGAUGUCGGCUCAUCACAUCCUGGGGCUGAAGUAGGUCCCAAGGGUAUGGCUGUUCGCCAUUUAAAGUGGUACGCGAGCUGGGUUUAGAACGUCGUGAGACAGUUCGGUCCCUAUCUGCCGUGGGCGCUGGAGAACUGAGGGGGGCUGCUCCUAGUACGAGAGGACCGGAGUGGACGCAUCACUGGUGUUCGGGUUGUCAUGCCAAUGGCACUGCCCGGUAGCUAAAUGCGGAAGAGAUAAGUGCUGAAAGCAUCUAAGCACGAAACUUGCCCCGAGAUGAGUUCUCCCUGACCCUUUAAGGGUCCUGAAGGAACGUUGAAGACGACGACGUUGAUAGGCCGGGUGUGUAAGCGCAGCGAUGCGUUGAGCUAACCGGUACUAAUGAACCGUGAGGCUUAACCUUACAACGCCGAAGGUGUUU